CAUUGUAAUCGAAUCUUGAACGCAUAUGGCGGCCUCGGGUCCAUCCCGAGGCCACGCCCGUCUGAGGGUCGGCU
rnacentral:rRNA from 1 species